AUUUAUGCACUCCCAAUGAAAAGAGUCACAAAUUCUUUCGUUGCCUUUCAACUUGCUGUCAGAAAACCCAAACUUCUUGACUUGAGUAGCUAAGAAUUAAAACAAUAUUUUUGUGGAAGGAUUCAGGGGUUGUUCGGUGUUUCUUAAUGUGAAAAUUGGCUAAUUGAAGGCUUUUCCGCUAUCUGAGAUGAUCUUGAUGCACACCCAGGUUGUAAGAAACGCCCAAGAUUCCCUUUUCCAUCCUAAAGAGUAUGGGGGAAAUGUACCGUAUCAAAGAGGCUUACGACAAAACACUUUUAAAUGUAUAAUAAUGCCAGUAUAAUAAUAGCGAAAAAGAUGGAAUUCAACUGCCGAAAAUAACUUAGCUUCUAAAUUGAAUUAAAGACGAGUUGACAUUUAUUGGAGUAUUUCAAGUGAAUGUUGGCAGAUAACUAAUCCGGGGACCAUAUAGGAAAUACUGAUAAAUAAGAAUAAACUACCUCUCAUAAUUACACUAUUGUUGUACAUAAAAAAUUUACUUUUAGUAAAAUAAAACACGCGCUCCCUUAUUAAC